rnacentral:rRNA from 1 species
AACGAACGCUGGCGGCAGGCUUAACACAUGCAAGUCGAGCGCCCCGCAAGGGGAGCGGCAGACGGGUGAGUAACGCGUGGGAAUCUACCCAUCCCUACGGAAUAGCUCCGGGAAACUGGAAUUAAUACCGUAUACGCCCUAAGGGGGAAAGAUUUACCGGGGAUGGAUGAGCCCGCGUUGGAUUAGCUAGUUGGUGGGGUAAAGGCCUACCAAGGCGACGAUCCUUAGCUGGUCUGGGAGGAUGAUCAGCCACAUUGGGACUGAGACACGGCCCAAACUCCUACGGGAGGCAGCAGUGGGGAAUAUUGGACAAUGGGGGCAACCCUGAUCCAGCCAUGCCGCGUGAGUGAUGAAGGCCUUAGGGCUGUAAAGCUCUUUCACCGGGGAAGAUAAUGACGGUACCCGGAGAAGAAGCCCCGGCUAACUUCGUGCCAGCAGCCGCGGUAAUAC